UGAUGGUGGUUAAAUGGUGUUUACAUGUAACAGUUUGCAGCUGUGGUUCUCAUGGGCAAUCUCUUCAGAAGAGCCUGAUAAAGAGCCCUGCUGACAGCAAGAAGUCUUCUAGAUGUUAUGCAUGAAUACAAUCUGGAGUAGAAACUCAAUUGUCCUAUAAAUCAGACACGCUACAGAAGUCUCUCCCUCCAGUACAGCCAGAUUCCCAAGUCUUGCCCUGAAAGCGGUGUGGCAGCAACUCGAUUUAUUACCUCCCCAGCACACAUGAGGUGUACCUGGUUCUCCUGUUCCAGGCAAACACCUACUUCAGCUGUAAACUCUUCUGACAUUUCUGACAGAGAAAUUCCCCUGCUGAGUAAUCAUUUCUUUUCCAUGGAUCUAAGAUUACCUCCGUUCAUUUCUUUGUAGGCAGGGUAAGCAUUUGUCUCUCUUCCUUCAGCUGAGCUGCUGCGUGUGUCCAUCACUGGCACAUAAGGCAUCAGGAGACCCCAGCCUCACAGAGCAAGAGUCUAAAUAGCACUUUCAAGGGGGGGAAAUUCCCAAGUUCUUGUUAUUGAGUCUCACCUGCUGGAGCAGGGAGUUCUAAUUCCAUGAAUUGCUCUUCUUCUUAUCCUCAA